rnacentral:rRNA from 1 species
CGGUUGAUCCUGCCGGAGGUCACCGCUAUUGGAAUCCGCUUAAGCCAUGCGAGUCGAGAGGGUUCGGCCCUCGGCAUACUGCUCAGUAACACGUGGACAAUCUGCCCUCGGGUGGGGGAUAAUCUCGAGAAAUUGAGAAUAAUACCCCAUAGGGCCCGUUUGCUGGAACGCUUCGGGCCCCAAAGCUGCGGCGCCCGAGGAUGAGUCUGCGGCUCAUCAGGCUGUAGUGAGUGUAACGGACUCACUAGCCGACAACGAGUACGGGCCUUGGAAGAGGUCGCCCGGAGAUGGACUCUGAGACACGAGUCCAGGCCCUACGGGGCGCAGCAGGCGCGAAAACUUCGCAAUGUGGGAAACCACGACGAGGGGAUUCCAAGUGCUCAUGUUUAUUCAUGGGCUGUUUUCCUGCCUAAAUAGCAGGGAGAGUAAGGGCUGGGUAAGACGGGUGCCAGCCGCCGCGGUAAUACCCGCAGCCCGAGUGGUGAUCGUUUUUAUUGGGCCUAAAGCGUCCGUAGCCGGCUCAGUAAAUCCUUGGGUAAAUCGGGCAGCUUAACUGUCCGACUUCCGGGGAGACUGCUGAGCUUGGGACUGGGAGAGGUCGGAGGUACUCCGGGGGUAGAGGUGAAAUUCUGUAAUCCUCGGGGGACCACCAGUGGCGAAGGCGUCCGACUUGAACGGGUCCGACGGUGANGGACGAAGCCCUGGGGCACAAACCGGAUUAGAUACCCGGGUAGUCCAGGGUGUAAACGCUGCGGGGCUUGGUGUU